GAUGAACGCUGGCGGCGUGCCUAAUACAUGCAAGUCGAGCGAACAGACGAGGAGCUUGCUCCUUUGACGUUAGCGGCGGACGGGUGAGUAACACGUGGGUAACCUACCUAUAAGACUGGGAUAACUUCGGGAAACCGGAGCUAAUACCGGAUAAUAUUUCGAACCGCAUGGUUCGAUAGUGAAAGAUGGCUUUGCUAUCACUUAUAGAUGGACCUGCGCCGUAUUAGCUAGUUGGUAAGGUAACGGCUUACCAAGGCAACGAUACGUAGCCGACCUGAGAGGGUGAUCGGGCACACUGGAACUGAGACACGGUCCAGACUCCUACGGGAGGCAGCAGUAGGGAAUCUUCCGGGAUGGGCGAGAGCCUGACGGAGCAACGCCGCGUGAGUGAUGAAGGUCUUCGGAUCGUAAAACUCUGUUAUUAGGGAAGAACAAACGUGUAAGUAACUGUGCACGUCUUGACGGUACCUAAUCAGAAAGCCACGGCUAACUACGUG
rnacentral:rRNA from 1 species